UCUUUGGAGCAUGGAAUGGUAAUCCAUCGUCUGUCUGUAGCGCAAUUCAUCCAUUCACCUACUGAAGGGUAUCUUCAUUGCUUCCCAAAACAUCCCCUUGGUUGCUACUCUAAACAUCUGGGCAGGUUGUUUUCAACUCCUUUGGGUAAACACCAAAGAGCACAAUCGCUGGACUGCAUGUGUUCAAGGGGCUCGCUGAUGAAUGUUCUGGAGUAGCCCUGACCUUGCUUAACAUGAGAUGUUCCUGUGAAGUUCCUUAAGGACACCAUGGUCUGCUCAUCUUUCUACUUCCAGAUCUGGAAUAGUUGAGACCAAACACUUCUUCACAGGCUUCCUGUUGCCAUCAGAACCGACACAUCCUGCAGAGGCUUCCGGCUCAUGGAUCAAGCGUGUGCAACAGGGGAGUCAAGUUGCAUCGAGUGCUUCCCAGAGGAGUUCUUUCUUCCUCCCUUUUUCUUCCCCUGCCGGUUUCCUUCUUGUCCCUUAUCUCUGCACCCUUCCCCACUGGCCCCAAAUCCUCAGACUUCCUCUGUAGAUGCCAAGUGAUGAUUUCAGAGACUGUGAGUCCAAGGGCCUCUAUUUGGGCAGGACCCUUAUGGGUCUGCUUCAGC